UACGAAGGGGGCUAGCGUUGUUCGGAAUUAUUGGGCGUAAAGCGCGUGUAGGCGGCUUGUUAAGUCGGGUGUGAAAGCCCUCAGCUCAACUGAGGAAGGGCGCCCGAAACUGGCGAGCUUGAGUGCCGGAGAGGAUGGCGGAAUACCCCAAGUAGUGGUGAAAUUCGUAGAUAUGGGGUGGAACACCGGUGGCGAAGGCGGCCAUCUGGACGGUAACUGACGCUGAGACGCGAAAGCGUGGGUAGCAAACAGG
rnacentral:rRNA from 1 species